CACGUAGGGUCCGAGCGUUUGUCCGGAAUUACUGGGCGUAAAGCGCGCGCAGGCGGUUAGUCGCAUCGGCGGUGAAAGCCCCCCCGCUUAACGGGGGGAGGGUCCGUCGAGAUGGACUGACUGGAGGCAGGGAGAGGGCGGUGGAAUUCCGGGUGUAGUGGUGAAAUGCGUAGAGAUCCGGAGGAACACCAGUGGCGAAGGCGGCCGCCUGGACCUGACCUGACGCUG
rnacentral:rRNA from 1 species